rnacentral:rRNA from 1 species
GACGGGGGCCCGCACAAGCAGUGGAUUAUGUGGUUUAAUUCGAAGCAACGCGAAGAACCUUACCAGGGCUUGACAUCCUCUGACCGCUCUAGAGAUAGAGUUUCCCUUCGGGGCAGAGAGACAGGUGGUGCAUGGUUGUCGUCAGCUCGUGUCGUGAGAUGUUUGGUUAAGUCCAAUAACGAGCGCAACCCCUAUGGUCAGUUGCCAUCAUUUAGUUGGGCACUCUGGCAAGACUGCCGCGGACAACGCGGAGGAAGGAGGGGACGACGUCAAAUCAUCAUGCCCCUUAUGUCCUGGGCUACACACGUAAUACAAUGGCAACGACAGAGGGCAGCGAACCCGCGAGGGCAAGCAAAUCCCCAAACGUUGUCUCAGUUCGGACUGCAGGCUGCAACCCGCCUGCACGAAGUCGGAAUUGCUAGUAAUGGCAGGUCAGCAUACUGCCGUGAAUACGUUCCCGGGCCUUGUACACACCGCCCGUCACACCAUGAGAGUCUGCAAUACCCGAAGUCAGUAGCCUAACCGCAAGGAGGGCGCUGCCGAAGGUAGGGCCGAUAAUUGGGGUGAAGUCGUAACAAGGGUAGCCGUAUCGGAA